UACGUAGGGUGCAAGCGUUGUCCGGAAUUAUUGGGCGUAAAGAGCUCGUAGGCGGUCUGUCGCGUCGGAUGUGAAAACCCGGGGCUUAACCCCGGGCCUGCAUUCGAUACGGGCAGACUCGAGUGUGGUAGGGGAGACUGGAACUCCUGGUGUAGCGGUGAAAUGCGCAGAUAUCAGGAAGAACACCGGUGGCGAAGGCGGGUCUCUGGGCCACUACUGAUGCUGAGGAGCGAAAGCGUGGGGAGCGAACAGG
rnacentral:rRNA from 1 species